rnacentral:rRNA from 1 species
CCUACGGGCGGCAGCAGUGGGGGAUAUUGCACAAUGGGGGAAACCCUGAUGCAGCGACGCCGCGUGUGGGAAGACGGUCCUCUGGAUUGUAAACCACUGUUCUCAGGGACGAAGAUGAUGGUACCUGGGGAGGAAGUUCCGGCUAACUACGUGCCAGCAGCCGCGGUAAGACGUAGGGAGCACGCGUUGUCCGGAAUUACUGGGUGUAAGGGGAGCGUAGGCGGGAUGGCAAGUUGGGUGUUAAAUCUACCGGCUCAACUGGGAGUCGCACUCAAAACUGCUAUUCUUGAGUGAAGUAGAGGCAGGCGGAAUUCCUAGUGUAGCGGUGAAAUGCGUAGAUAUUAGGAGGAACACCGGUGGCGAAGGCGGCCUGCUGGGCUUUUACUGACGCUGAGGCUCGAAAGUGUGGGGAGCAAACAGGAUUAGAUACCCGAGUAGUC